AUUGAACGCUGGCGGCAGGCCUAACACAUGCAAGUCGAGCGGAGCGGCGGACGGGUGAGUAAUGCCUAGGAAUCUGCCUGGUAGUGGGGGAUAACGUCCGGAAACGGGCGCUAAUACCGCAUACUAUCAGAUGAGCCUAGGUCGGAUUAGCUAGUUGGUGGGGUAAAGGCCUACCAAGGCGACGAUCCGUAACUGGUCUGAGAGGAUGAUCAGUCACCCUGAAACUGGGACACGGUCCAGACUCCUACGGGAGGCAGCGUUGGGGAAUAUUGGAAAAUGGGCGAAAGCCUACACCAGCCAUGCAGCGUGUGUGAAGAAGGUCUUCGGAUUGUAAAGUACUUUAAGCGGUGAGGCGUUACCCGCAGAAGAAGCACCGGCUAACUCCGUGCCAGCAGCCGCGGUAAUUC
rnacentral:rRNA from 1 species